UUCUGAUGUUUACUCAUAACCAGAGGACAACAAUCAAAACUCUUGACUGUGAUGUGGGAUGCAGGUGUACGUUCAUGAAUCUAUGCAGUUUUUCGCACCAACCGCACAAAAACUGAUGAAGAAUAGGGAACAAUUGCUGUCGCUGGUGCCCUAGCAGUCUGGCACAGAAAAGUGAAUUUUCUCAACCUCUGUCAUCCCGUCUCAAUCAGUCGAGCAGGAGGUUUUAGCAUUGUUUGUACUCCAGCAGCGGAAGCUGGGUUGAAGUGGUUUGAGAUCGAAUUCGUAUUUUCAGAGAAGGGAUUAAGCUUUGUGAGAAUCACCAUCACCUACCAGUUUCCUGACACGAAAGUAAGAGAGGUGGGUCUGGAAAUCCAACGGGUAAUGACUUGAAUAAACCAUCUGAGUUUCGGCUUCACUCCUUCAUAUGGUCGCCUGGAUCUCUCGCGAGAUUUGAUUUCUAAGCAUAGUCUCUGUUGUAGUUUUGUUAAGCCCUAGCCUACCCGAGUCGAAACAUAAACAAUUUUUGGAGCUUUCUGUAAAAAUGGAAAUAGAUUUGGAUGUAGGUUCUACAACAUAUUCACUUCUUCGUGUAUAUAUUGAGACUUUUUGUUUCUUU